GCUCUAAUAGCUUAAACUUCAAAGCACUGGUCUUGUAAACCAGAGACUGAAGCUCAAAACCUUCUUAGAGCU
rnacentral:tRNA from 1 species